rnacentral:snRNA from 1 species
GUACUUACCUGGUGCCGGGGCCUCGUUGAUCACCGAGGGAGAGCCUCCAGGGCGAGGUGCAGGCAUUGCACUGCGCUCGCGUUGACCUCUGCCAUUGCUCCAAGUUGGGACAAAUGGGGCAUGCAAACUGC